AUUGAACGCUGGCGGCAGGCCUAACACAUGCAAGUCGAACGGUAACAGGAAGAAGCUUGCUUCUUUGCUGACGAGUGGCGGACGGGUGAGUAAUGUCUGGGAAACUGCCUGAUGGAGGGGGAUCACUACUGGAAACGGUAGCUAAUACCGCAUAACGUCGCACGACCAAAGAGGGGGACCUUCGGGCCUCUUGCCAUCGGAUGUGCCCAGAUGGGAUUAGCUAGUAGGUGGCGUAACGGCUCACCUAGGCGACGAUCCCUAGCUGGUCUGAGAGGCUGACCAGCCAGACUGGAACUGAGACACAGUCCAGACUCCUACGGGAGGCAGCAGUGCAGAAUAUUGCACGAUGGGCGCGAGCCGGAUACAGGCAUACCGCGUGUAUGAUGAAGGCCUUCUGGUUCGAGAGUACUGACAGCGUGGAGGAAGGGAGUAAAGUUUAUACCCUAUCUCAUUGACAUUACCCGCAGAAGAAGCACCGGCUAACUCCGUG
rnacentral:rRNA from 1 species